rnacentral:rRNA from 1 species
UUUCCGUAGGUGUUUGAUGUGUUUCGCCUGCCGAACCUUGUAGCAGUAGCUUAAGCAACUGCGUUUCCAGUCGCUCACACCGUGAGCGGCGACGCCCUUAAUCUGUUCCUGGGAGUGUCGGCGCAAGCAACGCAACCAGCAGCUCUGUUUCCAAGAGUUCACAGAUCAAACGAGUGCGGCUACGAAUUUCGUGGCAAUAAUAUGAUCGGCCCCCCCCUUUUCUACGAGGCGGUGAAGUCGCGGAACCUGCGGAAGGAUCAUU